GACGAACCGAGCGACCGUUGUUCGGAAUCACUGGGCUUAAAGGGCGCGUAGGCGGGCAUUCAAGUCUAUGGUGAAAUCCGGCAGCUCAACUGUCGAACUGCCGUGGAUACUGGAUGUCUCGAGGGAGGUAGGGGCGUGCGGAACUAAUGGUGGAGCGGUGAAAUGCGUUGAUAUCAUUAGGAACUCCGGUGGCGAAGGCGGCACGCUGGACCUCUUCUGACGCUGAGGCGCGAAAGCCAGGGGAGCAAACGGG
rnacentral:rRNA from 1 species